GAGAACGAAGGUGGGUGAGGCAUUUCCCUCCCACGCCGAAGGCCUCCGGGAAUAGAAAUACCGGGUAAAUAUCCACUGGCCAGUUCAAACUUCUCAGGCAUGGGCAAGGUUGCAGUCUCCCUUACUGCAGGCAGCAAUGACUUUAGCAACAGGACCAACACACCCAUGCUCCUGAAAGAUGAGACUCGCAGAGCCCGGCCCGAGACUGCACCCAGCCGUCCAAGGCUGACCAUGCUUCCCACCCGGCCCUCCCCACGCCGGCUCGGACUUCGGGCAUUUUCUCUCCUCCUUUCCUCCCUGGUGAUCUGAGGCCGGCUCUGUCGGGGGAGUGUUCUUCCUCUUUGCAGUGAGUCCAAUAAACUCAGCUUUGCCUGAACAACAGGUUUUUCUGGUGGUGAUUUUGGGGAGUCUACAGCCAACAGCUGAAAUUGGGAAAACGGGGCGGGGGUGGGGAAUCCCUUUUUGUUUUUUGUUUUUAUUUUUUACAGUAAAGUGAAAGCAAGUUUAUUAGGAAGAUAGAGGAAUAAAAGAAUGGCUGCUCCAUAGACAGGGCAGCUGGGAAUCCCUUUUAGCACCUGGUGGCUGCAGAUGGGUAGAAAUACAGACCAUAUUUGGUUCUUAGUUUAAUUAGCCAGAGACGC
rnacentral:lncRNA from 1 species